rnacentral:lncRNA from 1 species
GGAACAUCAAUAAGCAACCACAAAACCCAAAGAGACCUGAUCUUCCCUUUUCUGGUUGGCAAGAACAGCUACACUGAAGGUGUUCAGUAUAGGGAGGCUGCAUUUGGGGAAUGCUUCGGGUCAGCCCUUGUAUACACAGUCAGAAGUCACGAUAACUUCCGGGAAGGAAUACCCAGAAACUUCCUUCUGCCCCUUUCAAAAAGUAAGUAGGU